UACGAAAGGUCCAAGCGUUACUCGGAAUUACUGGGCGUAAAGCGCGCGUAGGCGGUCUUGUAUGUCGAUUGUGAAAGCCCCGGGCUCAACCUGGGAACUGCAGUCGAAACUGCAAGACUUGAAUGUUGGAGAGGUUGGGGGAAUACCUAGUGGAGAAGUGAAAAUUCGUAGAGAUUAGGUGGAACACCAGAGGCGAAGGCGCCUGACUGGCCAAACAUUGACGCUGAGGCGCGAAAGCGUGGGUAGCAAACAGG
rnacentral:rRNA from 1 species